rnacentral:ribozyme from 15 species
AAAAUAUUAAAAAUGACAUGACCUGCACAUCAGUGUAGCUUCUAUUUCUUUUUCUUUUCGUUUUUACUUUUCUUUUUAUUUCUUUUCUUCAUAUCUUUUUUUGGUACUUUGAAGAUUGUGGGCUGAAAUACGGGAAGCUGAGU